rnacentral:rRNA from 1 species
UUUAUCCUUCUUAAUAGAGCGCAGUAUACUUGCUGCAGUGGUCUUCUUAGAGGAACUAUGCGGAAUUUUUACCGUAAGGAAGUUGGGUCAUAACAGGUCUGUGAUGCCCUUAGAUGUUCUGGGCUGCACGCGUGCUACACUGAUUCUAUCAAUAUGUUUGUUUUCCUGUUCGAAUUGGAUUAGGUAAUCAGGUAAUGAAAUAUCAUGCUUGGAAUCGGCAAUUGAAAUUAUUUUUCGUGAACGAGGAAUUCCUAGUAAGCACUAGUCAUCAGCUAAUGCUGAUUAUGUCCCUGCCCUUUGUA